UCAUGCUACAUACGGUAAAACGUUUCUUUGAAACAAGCGGUUCCCAAACUGGGGUCCGUACAGCAGUUUUUAGAGGGUUACCUCAUUUGAUGGUUUCUUCUUUUUCUUUCAUUGGUGUGGUUAUUCAUUUUCCUAUAGCAUUUUUUGACUUUUUCCAAGGCUGUGAAAUAUCAAACUAAUUGCAAAGGGUCCACCAGGCAAAAUCUUUAGAAAAGUUGGAGAACCGCUGUUUUAAACGAUUGUUUUUAGACGGAAACUUUGGAUAAAGAUGUGGGUGGUAAUGGGUGGAUUGUCAUAUUUUAAUGGGACCUUUAAUGUAUUUGGAACCUCUACGUCGAUGUCAUAUUUUAAGCAGGAAAACAUACAAAGAGAAUUUUUAUCCCACAUGAACCAAAUUAACCUAUCCGGUGUGUUCACGUUUCAACAUCUUUUGUUUAUUUGAAAAACUAGUACUCCUGCUCAAUUGAUACCUUCCAUUUUAAAAAACUAUAAUAACUAUAUAAUAAAAUAAUAACGCCAGAUUUAGCUCUCCGUUUUAUGUGACUUAAUGUGUUUAUUCCAGAAGAAAAAGAGAAUAAGCACGAAGUGCUAAGAAAGCUUAAAACAGAGGUUCAAAAAAUCUACAACGAAAAUUAUUCAGAAGCUGUUGGGCAAACAGCAAGAAUGCCAUAUUCGAAAAUCUAUGAAUUUGAAUUGAAAAUGAAUGGUUUGCCUGAUGGGAUACCAUUUAAAUGCCCGUCCGGAUAUGGCCCAGCAGCAUGCAAGAAAAUUAUUCAACAU